AUGACGCCGACUCGUCAUCGCCUUCCUUCGGCACCGCCACCGGGGCGGGUCAACUGUGGCGGUGUGUCGAGGUCGAAGUCAACGUCGCCUCCCUCUCCAGCCCUAGAUCCCGUGGCGAAAAUCGCCACCACCAUACCGGCGCGCUCUUCUCCAUGGCCCUCCAAGGUAACGAGCACGGGUGAGCUCCCCACCACAGCUCCCUCCAUCCCAACGGCAUGA
rnacentral:rRNA from 1 species